UCCACCGUGCCACAUCCACAACACUUCUCUCCUUUCCUCGCACUGCACAACAUCUGUUAGGGUUUUCAUUUUUUCUCCUUUUCCUAAUUUUUCUCACCGCAUAACACUUCAUUUUUUGUGUGCUUUUGAAUGUAGAGUUGAAGUACCAACUCAAUGAGAUAGAAGACAAUGCUUAUAAUCUGAAAAAAUGUAGAAGCAGAUGUUGGCUGAAGGAGAGGGAAGGGAAUGCUAAUUUCUCAGUUUUGUAAGAGUUAUAAUUCUUUUACGAAAAUGAAUAAGGGGUGACCGGGAGAUUACAAGGAAAACUGGUACCUAGAGUGGCACUUCGACGUAUUGAUAGUGUGGACUUUGGCAAAGACCAGAGAAAUUUCUAAAGCAGAAGAUCUUCUAAAGGGCUUAAAAAACAGGAUUCUGAGGAUGACUAAAAAGAAACAACAACGCAUGCAGAGAGUAAUGAUGCUAUGCUUUAGUAGCUGCUUCCAUGAAUAUAUGAAAAUGUAGUUAGAUAGUAUGUCUAGUUCAUAGCUCUUAUUCUUUAUUCUGUUGGAGUACGAGACAUGACAACCUUUCUUUGUUGCACUCACUUUGUCACAUACAACCUUAACCAAUAAUGUUACCGGAAAUUUAUCAUUUACGGGUCAUUCAGAAGUAGGGAUGGAUAUUGCACAAAUGGGUAGAUUCUAGGUUGGGUGCUGUGGCUCUUUUUACUUGUUUAAAAAAAUUAAUUACUGUUGGAUUGGAUUAGUAAAUAAGUCCUUAUUGAGUCAGUUUUGGUUCUACAUUCUUGAUUCAUUGUUUGCAUUUUGUUGAGUUAAAAAAAUUGAGAGAUAUUGUGUGUCAUGCUCAUACUCGUACUUGGAUGGUUCAACCAGAUUAUUUCCCAGCAAUAAAUAACUGCAUGAAAAACCUAUACAACUGCGUUGUUUUCUUUUCUACUGAUGUUGCUGUUAUAAUAAGGUUCUCAUUAGCAUGCUUUUGCUUUGCUUUGCUUAUUCAGAGGAAAUGUAUUUUUUCUUAGUCAAAAUUGUUUCCUCCAUUUCUCUUGUUUGAACUUAGCUUGCAGAGGCACUUUAUGCAUAUGAAAGAGGUGACGACAGACAUGGACUGGAAUUACUUGAUCCAAAUUUGUUUAGAAUAAGGCACAUGAAUUUCUCUAUGCAUAUUGGAUGCUCAUUGGUGUCAAGUACUUAGCUUCUACUGUUAAGAUUACAGAUUGAUAGUUUGCUGUUAGACUAGUACAUUUAAUUGAUACUUGAGAGGUGAUAUAUUGUUUCUGACUUCUGGAUUUGCUGAUAUAUGACUAUUCUUCAUUCUCCCUAUACGUUCUAGUUGAUUCUUAUUGGUAACAUGAUUUUCUUUUUCUGCUUUAUUUUAAUUGAAUGUAUUUUUGGAAAGCCUAACAGAGGGAACAGGGUAUUGAGCAGUAGAAGCUAGAAUCUGUCAAUAUAAAAUAUCUACGUAAUUUUCUUCAAUUUACUACCAUGAAGUGCCUUGUGAUAGUUUGGAUGUUUAGAUACUUUUAAUUAUCUGUUAGAGUCAUUUUGGAGUCAAUUUGAACAUAGAAAUGUCUACACAUCAACAUAACAAUGAAAGUGAUGACGAAGAUGAUGAAGACAAUGGUGAUGAAUAUAGUGAUCAUAUUGAAGGGCAUGGUUGAUUAUAGGUACAAGUUAUGGUGGAUUGUAGAUACAAGUUGACUCUAGUUCAUGGUAUAUCAUGCAUAUACAACAACAACAACCAAGCCUUUAUCCCACUAGGUGGGGUCGGCUAUAUGGAUCAAACGACGCCAUAGGGAUCUAUCAUUUAUUUUUUAGUACAUGGAUUUUGCCUUGACAUUUUCAUUUUUUCAUUUAUUUUUAUGCAAGGCAUGGUUAAUUGUAGGUACAAGUAAUGGUUGAUUGUAGAUACAAGUUGAUUUUACUACAUGGUAUAUCAUGCAUAUGGUAUAUCUUUUAUUUUUUCAUACAUGGUAUUUAUAAGUUUAUCAAUGGCUGAGACUUUGGCAAAGUUUCCUCACCUAGGCAUAGUAACAAUUUAUACUCUA